rnacentral:tRNA from 2 species
CAUUAGGUGACUGAAAGAAAGUAAUGGUCUCUUAAACCAAUUUAUAGUAAUUAACGACUACUUCUAAUGG